CACGUAGGGCGCAAGCGUUGUCCGGAAUUAUUGGGCGUAAAGAGCUCGUAGGCGGUUUGUCGCGUCUGCUGUGAAAAUCCAGGGCUUAACCCUGGACCUGCAGUGGGUACGGGCAGACUGGAGUGCGGUAGGGGAGAUCGGAAUUCCUGGUGUAGCGGUGAGAUGCGCAGAUAUCAGGAGGAACACCGGUGGCGAAGGCGGAUCUCUGGGCCGUAACUGACGCUGAGGAGCGAAAGCAUGGGGAGCGAACAGG
rnacentral:rRNA from 1 species